ACUCCUACGGGAGGCAGCAGUGGGGAAUCUUAGACAAUGGGGGAAACCCUGAUCUAGCCAUGCCGCGUGAGUGAUGAAGGCCCUAGGGUCGUAAAGCUCUUUCGCCAGGGAUGAUAAUGACAGUACCUGGUAAAGAAACCCCGGCUAACUCCGUGCCAGCAGCCGCGGUAAUACGGAGGGGUUAGCGUUGUUCGGAAUUACUGGGCGUAAAGCGCGCGUAGGCGGACUGGAAAGUUGGGGUGAAAU
rnacentral:rRNA from 1 species